GAUUAAAGAGCUUGAAAAUAGCAUACAAUUUUUAAUUGUAAUAUAUCUUUUGAUUUUAAUCA
rnacentral:tRNA from 1 species